AGUAUAAAUGAAAGCAAGAAGCUGUCUUACUGUGGCGUGGCAUUUAAAUCCAGAUAAGUGCCGCGGAAUGAGACUGGUAUAGUUGACGAGGGCAGAAUGAGUCAGGCGGCAGAGUGGGGGCUCCGUUUACAGGCUUCGUUCCAGGUGCAUACUCAAAAAGCCACGAGAACGCUCUAAAUUACUCACACGCUGACACCGAACCCCUUAUUGACAGCCGGGAGGGCAGCCUGUAGUGGCGUGCGCUAAGUGCCACAAGGGGCUGUAAACACCGCCAUCAGCUCUGGGAGACAACAGAAAAAUAAUAAUUAAAAGAACACAACAAAUAGAGUUGAGGCGAGGAUCGUGCUGUGGAUACUCUGGCUGCCGUGGGUCCACGGAUCUGCUGCACAGGAAACCAGCCCUUCAGCAUUCCUGUCCACCACUUCACUACUCUCCCACUGAGGGGUCAGAGGUCAGCGGCGCUGAUGGAACGUGCAAUUACUCACAGACAUGUCAGGCUAUCAAGCGGACACACACACGGCUCCAAAUGCACCUGUGUUUGGACGUUGAAAGUAUCACCCACACCGGCAAGAAUUAAAUAUAUCUCGAGGCCAUAUUCUGAAUCCAAGACUGUCAUCAUUUCUAUGGUGUGGAUGAUCACCUGCUGCUGAAGACGACGGAAUAAUGUCAAGCAGUUUCUGUGGUUCAAAAUGAAACAGACGGCUGUGCUGUGAAUAGUCUGUAAGUCUUUAUAAGGAAAACUGAUCCCAUUCCAAAAGCACAACGCAAAUAAAUAAAUAGAAAACCGUUAGGUGCCUCACUUUCCAGUAUCACCUAGUAUAAAAUGUCACAGUUGGGAUGAAAUUACAGAAGCGCUAACAUCUCAUGAGAACACAUGGAAUCCAUUUACAGCAUCAAAAUACAAAUAUUAAGCAGGGGUGGCAUUGCCCCAUUUGUACAAUGAAACACAAGAAGAUUGGGUGCAGCUGCAGAAGCUGUUUUACUUAAACACAACUGAUCUCAGACCCACAAAAUCCUCACCUUUGUGUUCAGCUGGGAGUAAAUGUGGGAAGUUGUUCUCCUCGCCAAAUAAGUAGAGCUCAGCUGAACCGAUUAGUCCGUAAAUCAAUGACGAAGGAUCCACAGCAAUUUGGAUAAGCUGUUAACCGUUUCAGUUAUUUUUCA